CCUACGGGGGGCAGCAGUGGGGAAUAUUGGGCAAUGGGCGCAAGCCUGACCCAGCAACGCCGCGUGAAGGAAGAAGGCUUUCGGGUUGUAAACUUCUUUUGACAGGGAAGAGCAGAAGACGGUACAUGUCGUAUAAGCCACGUCUAACUACGUGCCAGCCGCCGCGGUAAUACGUAGGUGGCAAGCGGUGUCCGGAUUUAGUGGGUGAAGGGGGCGUGUAGCCGGGCUGACAAGUCAGAUGUGAAAUCCGGGGGCUAAACCCCCGAACGGAAUUGGAAAUUGUUGGUCUUGGGUAUCGGAGGGGCAGGCGAAAUUCCUGGUGUGGCGGGGAA
rnacentral:rRNA from 1 species